UACGUAGGGGCCAAGCGUUGUCCGGAAUCACUGGGCGUAAAGCGCAUGUAGGUGGUUUGGUAAGUCAGAUGUAAAAUUCCCGAGCUUAACUCGGGACCGCAUUUGAUACUGCCAGACUAGAGAAUGGUAGAGGAAAGCGGAACUUCCGGUGUAGCGGUGAAAUGCGUAGAUAUCGGAAGGAACACCAGUGGCGAAGGCGGCUUUCUGGGCCAUUUCUGACACUGAGAUGCGAAAGCCAGGGGAGC
rnacentral:rRNA from 1 species